CGGCACGGGUGAGUAACACGUAUCCAACCUGCCGUCUACUCUUGGACAGCCUUCUGAAAGGAAGAUUAAUACAAGAUGGCAUCAUGAGUCCGCAUGUUCACAUGAUUAAAGGUAUUCCGGUAGACGAUGGGGAUGCGUUCCAUUAGAUAGUAGGCGGGGUAACGGCCCACCUAGUCUUCGAUGGAUAGGGGUUCUGAGAGGAAGGUCCCCCACAUUGGAACCGAGACACGGUCCAA
rnacentral:rRNA from 1 species